GAUGAACGCUGGCGGCGUGCUUAACACAUGCAAGUCGAACGGACGACUUUUGACGGACACUUCGGUGGAAGACAGAAGAAGUUAGUGGCGGACGGGUGAGUAACACGUGGGUAAUUUACCUUUCAGACAGGGAUAACACCGGGAAACUGGUGCUAAUACCUGAUACGCUUAAUGACAGACAUCUGUUAUUGAGGAAAAGAGGCCUCUCGACGAAGCUCCUGCUGAAAGAUAAGCCCGCGCCUGAUUAGCUAGUUGGUGGGGUAAUGGCCUACCAAGGCAACGAUCAGUAGCCGGCCUGAGAGGGGGAACGGCCACACUGGGACUGAGACACGGCCCAGACUCCUACGGGAGGCAGCAGUGGGGAAUAUUGCGCAAUGGGGGAAACCCUGACGCAGCAACGCCGCGUGAGUGAAGAAGGUUUUCGGAUCGUAAAGCUCUGUCAAUUGGGAAGAAGGCUUACUGGUUAAUAGCCAGUGAGAUGACGGUACCUAAGAAGGAAGCUCCGGCUAACUAUGUGCCAGCCGCCGCAGUAACAC
rnacentral:rRNA from 1 species